ACAGAGGGGGCGAGCGUUGUUCGGAAUUACUGGGCGUAAAGCGUGCGCAGGCGGUUUCGUAAGUCUGUCGUGAAAUCCCCGGGCUUAACCUGGGAAUGGCGAUGGAGACUGCGAGGCUAGAGUUUGGCAGAGGGGGGUAGAAUUCCACGUGUAGCAGUGAAAUGCGUAGAGAUGUGGAGGAACACCGAUGGCGAAGGCAGCCCCCUGGGUCAAAACUGACGCUGAGGAGCGAAAGCAUGGGGAGCGAACAGGA
rnacentral:rRNA from 1 species